GACGAACGCUGGCGGCGUGCUUAACACAUGCAAGUCGAACGGAAAGGCCCUGCUUUUGUGGGGUGCUCGAGUGGCGAACGGGUGAGUAACACGUGAGUAACCUGCCCUUGACUUUGGGAUAACUUCAGGAAACUGGGGCUAAUACCGGAUAGGAGCUCCUGCUGCAUGGUGGGGGUUGGAAAGUUUCGGCGGUUGGGGAUGGACUCGCGGCUUAUCAGCUUGUUGGUUGGGUAGUGGCUUACCAAGGCUUUGACGGGUAGCCGGCCUGAGAGGGUGACCGGCCACAAUGGGACUGAGAUACGGCCCAGACUCCUACGGGAGGCAGCAGUGGGGAAUAUUGCACAAUGGGCGGAAGCCUGAUGCAGCAACGCCGCGUGCGGGAUGACGGCCUUCGAGUUGUAAACCGCUUUCGCCUGUGACGAAGCGUGAGUGACGGUAAUGGGUAAAGAAGCACCGGCUAACUACGUG
rnacentral:rRNA from 1 species